rnacentral:rRNA from 1 species
AGAGUUUGAUCCUGGCUCAGAUUGAGCGCUGGCGGCAGGCUUGACACAUGCAAGUGGAACGGUAGCAGAGUUAGGCUUUUCUAUUGGGUCACCAGCGGCGCACGGGUGAAUAAUGCCUGGGAAUGUGCCCGGAGGAGGGGGAUAACUACUGGAAACGUUUGAUAAUACCGCAUAACGUCGCAAGACCAAAGAGGGGGACCUUCGGGCCUCUCGCCAUCGGAUGUGCCCAGGUGGGAUUAGCUAGUUGGUGGGGUAACGGCUCACCUAGGCGACGAUCCCUAGCUGGUCUGAGAGGAUGACCAGCCACACUGGAACUGAGACACGGUCCAGACUCCUACGGGAGGCAGCAGUGGGGAAUAUUGCACAAUGGGCGCAAGCCUGAUGCAGCCAUGCCGCGUGUAUGAAGAAGGCCUUCGGGUUGUAAAGUACUUUCAGCGGGGAGGAAGGGAGUAAAGUUAAUACCUUUGCUCAUUGACGUUACCCGCAGAAGAAGCACCGGCUAACUCCGUGCCAGCAGCCGCGGUAAUACGGAGGGUGCAAGCGUUAAUCGGAAUUACUGGGCGUAAAGCGCAAGCAGGCGGUUUGUUAAGUCAGAUGUGAAAUCCCCGGGCUCAACCUGGGAACUGCAUCUGAUACUGGCAAGCUUGAGUCUCGUAGAGGGGGGUAGAAUUUCAGGUGUAGCGGUGAAAUGCGUAGAGAUCUGAAGGAAUACCGGUGGCGAAGGCGGCCCCCUGGACAGAUACUGACACUCAGAUGCGAAAGCGUG